rnacentral:tRNA from 3 species
GGGCCCAUAGCUCAAUGGUAGAGCAAUUCCCUUUUAAGGAAGCGGUUGAAGGUUCGAAUCCUUCUGGGCUCACCA